UGUGACAACCUUGACAAGCCAGGGACUGCCUCCUGAACUCUGUCUUCUCUAGGACGUGAACCUAUCAUUAAAUAAGAGUUCCUGAUAAAACUGCAAAUCCCGUGUGACAAUGGACCUCUUUUCAAGAGAAAGUACACAAGCAACUUUCUUCAUGAUACAUGCUUCUGUGCAGAACACUUCUCUUCAAGACUGAAGUCCACUUAGUAGUUCUUAUCACACAAGUCAUCACAGAGGAAGUUGUCCAAUUUUUAAAAUCUUCAUUAGCCUUCUUUAAACUAUCUUCCAGAUGUCAGCAGAGGGGCACUAUGACAAAAUGGCAGCUGACGUGGAAGUGCAUAUGAACCAGAGUUAUGCCACUGAAUUCCUCCAUGAAGAAAAAAUUGCAGCAACUUCACCAAACAUUCAUCAGUGCUUGUUGAAUGUUUAUGGAGAUCAAACAAUGAAUGUGAGUGAUGUGUGGAAAAUCAAACCCUG